rnacentral:rRNA from 1 species
GAUGAACGCUAGCGGGAGGCUUAACACAUGCAAGUCGAGGGGCAUCACGGGGUAGCAAUACUCUGGUGGCGACCGGCGCACGGGUGAGUAACACGUAUGCAACCUGCCUCGUACAGGGGGAUAACCCGGAGAAAUUCGGACUAAUAUCCCAUAAUGAUAUUGAAAGGCAUCUUUUGAUAUUUAAAGCUCAGGCGGUACGGGAUGGGCAUGCGGAACAUUAGCUAGUUGGCAGGGUAACGGCCUACCAAGGCUGCGAUGUUUAGGGGACCUGAGAGGGUUAUCACCCACACUGGUACUGAGACACGGACCAGACUCCUACGGGAGGCAGCAGUGAGGAAUAUUGGUCAAUGGGCGCAAGCCUGAACCAGCCAUCCCGCGGGAAGGAAGAAGGCGCUAUGCGUUGUAAACUUCUUUUCCAGGGGGAGAAUUUUUCCGUCGUGACGGGAAUUGACGGUACUCGGGGAAUAAGCAUCGGCUAACUCCGUGCCAGCAGCCGCCGUAAGAC